GGACGAACGCUGGCGGCGCGCCUAACACAUGCAAGUCGAACGAGCGAGAGAGAGCUUGCUUUCUCGAGCGAGUGGCGAACGGGUGAGUAACGCGUGAGGAACCUGCCUCAAAGAGGGGGACAACAGUUGGAAACGACUGCUAAUACCGCAUAAGCCCACGGCUCGGCAUCGAGCAGGGGGAAAAGGAGCAAUCCGCUUUGAGAUGGCCUCGCGUCCGAUUAGCUAGUUGGUGAGGUAACGGCCCACCAAGGCGACGAUCGGUAGCCGGACUGAGAGGUUGAACGGCCACAUUGGGACUGAGACACGGCCCAGACUCCUACGGGAGGCAGCAGUGGGGAAUAUUGCACAAUGGGGGAAACCCUGAUGCAGCGACGCCGCGUGGAGGAAGAAGGUCUUCGGAUUGUAAACUCCUGUUGUUGGGGAAGAUAAUGACGGUACCCAACAAGGAAGUGACGGCUAACUACGUG
rnacentral:rRNA from 1 species